rnacentral:rRNA from 1 species
AUUGAACGCUGGCGGCAGGCUUAACACAUGCAAGUCGAGCGGGGUGAUGGUGCUUGCACUAUCACUUAGCGGCGGACGGGUGAGUAAUGCUUAGGAAUCUGCCUAUUAGUGGGGGACAACAUCUCGAAAGGGAUGCUAAUACCGCAUACGUCCUACGGGAGAAAGCAGGGGAUCACUUGUGACCUUGCGCUAAUAGAUGAGCCUAAGUCGGAUUAGCUAGUUGGUGGGGUAAAGGCCUACCAAGGCGACGAUCUGUAGCGGGUCUGAGAGGAUGAUCCGCAACACUGGGACUGAGACACGGCCCAGACUCCUACGGGAGGCAGCAGUGGGGAAUAUUGGACAAUGGGGGGAACGCUGAUCCAGCCAUGCCGCGUGUGUGAAGAAGGCCUUAUGGUUGUAAAGCACUUUAAGCGAGGAGGAGGCUCUUUUGGUUAAUACCCAAGAUGAGUGGACGUUACUCGCAGAAUAAGCACCGGCUAACUCUGUGCCAGCAGCCGCGGUAA